rnacentral:rRNA from 1 species
AUUGAACGCUGGCGGCAGGCUUAACACAUGCAAGUCGAGCGGAGUUGUGGUGCUUGCACCAUAACUUAGCGGCGGACGGGUGAGUAAUGCUUAGGAAUCUGCCUAUUAGUGGGGGACAACAUUUCGAAAGGAAUGCUAAUACCGCAUACGCCCUACGGAGGAAAGCAGGGGAUCUUCGGACCUUGUGCUAAUAGAUGAGCCUAAGUCGGAUUAGCUAGUUGGUGGGGUAAAGGCCUACCAAGGCGACGAUCUGUAGCGGGUCUGAGAGGAUGAUCCGCCACACUGGGACUGAGACACGGCCCAGACUCCUACGGGAGGCAGCAGUGGGGAAUAUUGGACAAUGGGCGCAAGCCUGAUCCAGCCAUGCCGCGUGUGUGAAGAAGGCCUUUUGGUUGUAAAGCACUUUAAGCGAGGAGGAGGCUCCUAUAGUUAAUACCUAUAGAGAGUGGACGUUACUCGCAGAAUAAGCACCGGCUAACUCUGUGCCAGCAGCCGCGGUAAUACAGAGGGUGCAAGCGUUAAUCGGAUUUACUGGGCGUAAAGCGUGCGUAGGCGGCUUUUUAAGUCGGAUGUGAAAUCCCUGAGCUUAACUUAGGAAUUGCAUUCGAUACUGGGAAGCUAGAGUAUGGGAGAGGAUGGUAGAAUUCCAGGU